UCCCCAACCUCUCUUCUCUUUCCGUCCGCCCGCGGGGCUUCCGGGGUGCUGACGCAGGGGAGAAAAUAGCAUGCGCUUGACCGUCGGCGGGGCUUGCGCCCAGGAGGUGCAGCGGAGGGUGAAGGAGUAGGAGCCGGAUCUGGCGGCUCCUCGCCACGCUUGAGGACCGGACCGCCUCUGUCACAAUUAACUACUUGGGAUUCUCCUUCGUUAGGUGUGAUUUGGUUAUUGUAGUGAAUGGGAGGAAGGAGAAGAUUCCCUCCGGCCUCCUAGUCCCCUUGGUGGCGCACCUCAAGGCAACCCAGGAGCAGAUUGCCAAGGGAGGCUACACCAUCCUCCUCCAGCCUAAUUUGGAUUCUGGAGGCCGGUGCACCAUUGUUCACCAAGGGCACCAUUCAGAGUGUUGGCAGGUUCGUCCAGCACAUCGGAGGUCCUGGAGCAGAUGACAACCAUUGAGUCCAAGAUACUGCAGCUCGAGGAGACCAUCGCCAUCCAGAGCAAUGAAAUCUGUAGAAGGCCAUGAUGGGAAACUGGUGGACUCCAUGAAGUCUCCACCUCUGCGUGUUGAUGUCAAAUCCCUUCUCCAAGGUAACCAGACAAUCCUCUUCAUACAAAUUUGCAAGCUUUGUUUCUCGAGUCUCCACUCACCCGCAUACAAUAUUUCAUUGAAUUUGUGAAUUUUCUCCUGAACUAAUAGAGCCAGUUGUAGGUCAAAAUGUUGUGAUAUGAGGUAAAGGAAAUAUUUAUGGAGGGGAAAUUUACUUUUACAAAUCCCAUAGAUUACCUUUAUCUAAAUCAUGUGGUCCAUUUUCAGUUAUGAGUAGCAGUAGUACUACAUGAAGAUUAUGAAUUAGGUAUGAUUGUCUUUGCUCUUUAAUUCAUCAGUACCUGAGUACAAACUCAGUAUCUCACUUUUACCAUGUGAUGACACGACAAUCGUGGGGCGAACGUGAUUGAACCUUAUAAGAUGGCCUCAAGAACACAAAGAUCUAUUUCAUUUUAUUUCCCAGGACCUUUUAAAUACUUAUGCCAAAAAUUUAAGCAUAAAACAAUGUCUGCUAUAGAUACCUGUAAAUGUCUUUCUUUAGAACGUCUGACCCUUAGUAUAUAAUUCCUGGAAAUAAAACUCUAAUAACUCUAUCUGCGUUAAAAUUUAGACAUUAUUUUUUGGUUGUCGAAUAAGGUUUCACAACAGUGGUAGAAAUAGUUCAAACUUGCAACACAAGGACGAACAUGCUAAUCUCAACUUUUUCAAUAGUGUUGCAGUAAACAUGGUUGUUCCCAGUUGAACGGAUUUUAUGUUUUUUAAGAGGAUUCAAGUUUCUUCUUUUAUAUGUGUACUCAUGCAAUACAAUUUGAUUGAAUCGUUACUGAAAUUUGUUUCAGUACUAAUGCAUAACUAUGUAAUGAUAUCUAGCUUGAACAGCUGAUAAAGCCACUGCUAACGUCGGUAUUUUCGAAACUUCGAAGAAGGUUGAUGAAUUAAAUGUCCUAAAUAUUUAUGUGUCUAAUUAUUUUCGGUUAUGUGAGAAGGACAAAAAGGUCCAAGCAUUGGAUACUGUUACGGCUAGGUGUGUAGCCGCUGUGGAUAGCUUUGACCAAAAGCUUGAGCCUGGGAUUGAGGCGCAUCAGAGAAAAUUAGAACUAUUGAUGCAUGUUCAAGAAGACAGGAAAGUUGAGUAUGGACAGAUGAUGCAUGCACGUUCCAUGGUUUGCAUGCAUAAGUGGAAGGAGAAUCAAUCAUACCCAGGGAUUUACGUGGAUAGUAAUUUGAAGCAUCUAGCAAAGAGCACGUACAAGGAAAACUACUACUUUGCAUGCCCACGUCAACCAGAAAGUAGACUUGCUAUAGAGUUUGAUUUGUUUCUCAAUUAUAUUAUGUGUUCCAUACAAUCAGGAGAUAGAAAUCAGAAAGAAGUCCAUGGUUGCUACUACUUCGAAAGGUCACGGCCACCAGAGAUACAUGUGUACACCAGGAGACCUCGGCCACAUGACGUGUUGUGCUUAUGUGCUAUGGGGUGGGGUCCGCCUACAGAAGAUAUCAUCAAAUUAGUGCACUAUAUUUACGUAGGCUCAAAGUGUCAGUUCGUUUUCUUUUGGUAUGUAUGGAUUGUGGGCCAAAACUAUAAGGUGCACAGUCUAUUUGAUUUGGAGAGUCCAAGUUUUAUUAUUUUUCUAUUUAGCAGAGAUAUAAAGUUAGGAAUGUUUGAGUCGUCCAACUUGCAGGUUAAGAUAGGUCAUUUGUUAUUUAAGGUCUGGUCGGUGCAUCAUGUAAAGCAGGUUAUUUGAUAAAAUAGACACGAUGUGUUUUCAAGGGUAGACACCCGUAUCAAGUUUAGAGGGAUCUUUAGAAAACCUCUGUGUUGCGAUUU